UAGGGAAUCUUCCGCAAUGGGCGAAAGCUUGACGGAGCAACGCCGCGUGAGUGAUGAAGGUCUUCGGAUCGUAAAACUCUGUUAUUAGGGAAGAACAAAUGUGUAAGUAACUAUGCACGUCUUGACGGUACCUAAUCAGAAAGCCACGGCUAACUACGUGCCAGCAGCCGCGGUAAUACGUAGGUGGCAAGCGUUAUCCGGAAUUAUUGGGCGUAAAGCGCGCGUAGGCGGUUUUUUAAGUCUGAUGUGAAAGCCCACGGCUCAACCGUGGAGGGUCAUUGGAAAAUGGAAAACUUGAGUGCAGAAGAGGAAAGUGGAAUUCCAUGUGUAGCGGUGAAAUGCGCAGAGAUAUGGAGGAACACCAGUGGCGAAGGCGACUUUCUGGUCUGUAACUGACGCUGAUGUGCGAAAGCGUGGGGAUCAAACAGG
rnacentral:rRNA from 1 species